CCUACGGGGGUCAGCAGUGGGGAAUAUUGGACAAUGGGCGAAAGCCUGAUCCAGCCAUGCCGCGUGUGUGAAGAAGGCCUUCGGGUUGUAAAGCACUUUCAGUGGGGAAGAAAGCCUUGGGGCUAAUACCCUCGAGGAAGGACAUCACCCACAGAAGAAGCACCGGCUAACUCCGUGCCAGCAGCCGCGGUAAUACGGAGGGUGCGAGCGUUAAUCGGAAUUACUGGGCGUAAAGCGCGCGUAGGCGGUCUGAUAAGCCGGUUGUGAAAGCCCCGGGCUCAACCUGGGAACGGCAUCCGGAACUGUCAGGCUAGAGUGCAGGAGAGGAAGGUAGAAUUCCCGGUGUAGCGGUGAAAUGCGUAGAGAUCGGGAGGAAUACCAGUGGCGAAGGCGGCCUUCUGGACUGACACUGACGCUGAGGUGCGAAAGCGUGGGUAGCAAACAGGAUUAGAUACCCUGGUAGUC
rnacentral:rRNA from 1 species